rnacentral:rRNA from 1 species
UUUGCCUACGGGGGGCAGCAGUGGGGAAUAUUGCGCAAUGGGCGAAAGCCUGACGCAGCAACGCCGCGUGGAGGAUGAAGGUUUUCGGAUUGUAAACUCCUUUUGUUAGAGAAGAUAAUGACGGUAUCUAACGAAUAAGCACCGGCUAACUCCGUGCCAGCAGCCGCGGUAAUACGGAGGGUGCAAGCGUUACUCGGAAUCACUGGGCGUAAAGAGCGCGUAGGCGGGAUAGCAAGUCAGAUGUGAAAUCCUAUGGCUUAACCAUAGAACUGCAUUUGACACUGUUAUUCUAGAGUAUGGGAGAG